rnacentral:lncRNA from 1 species
GUGGCAGUAAGGGUGACCUAUCUGUCAACUUUUCCACUAUCACCCCCAAAAACCAAAACUCUGCCUUACAUAAACUAGCCAGAGUACGAAUAACCUCUGGAUUUGAAAUCACUGCUUAUAUCCCUGGUAUUGGCCAUAAUUUACAAGAACAUUCUGUAGUCUUAGUAAGAGGAGGAAGGGUUAAGGAUUUACCUGGUGUGAGAUAUCACAUUAUUAGAACAUUUUAUAGUCUUAGUAAGAGGAGGAAGGGUUCAGGAUUUACCUGGUGUGAGAUAUCACAUUAUUCGAGGAACCAUAGAUGCUUUCUAAGUAAAGGAUCAUCAACAAGGGCGUUCUAGUGCGUUGUAGAUUCUUAUCCAAGACUUGUAUCAUUUGAUGAUACCAUGUGAAUUGAUAGAUACAUGUAUAGUGUAUGGCUAACCCAAUAACGAGAGUUUCAUAAGGGGACUAGAGCAGGUAACCAUAAGACAAAAUAUCUUUCUUUCGAAAGAGAUUCGAUUCGGAACUAUGCUAAUUAUAUGUCUAAGGUCCAAUAUUGGAAAAUUUUCAGAGGUAUUCCUUGACUUUGUCCAUGUCAACAAACAAUUCGAA